GUAGGGAAUCUUCGGCAAUGGACGAAAGUCUGACCGAGCAACGUCGCGUGAGUGAAGAAGGUUUUCGGAUCGUAAAACUCUGUUGUUAGAGAAGAAUGUUGAUUAGUGUGGAAAAUUAAUCAAGUGACGGUAUCUAACCAGAAAGGGACGGCUAACUACGUGCCAGCAGCCGCGGUAAUACGUAGGUCCCGAGCGUUGUCCGGAUUUAUUGGGCGUAAAGCGAGCGCAGGUGGUUUAAUAAGUCUGAUGUAAAAGGCAGUGGCUCAACCAUUGUGUACAUUGGAAACUGUUAGACUUGAGUGCAGUAGAGGAGAGUGGAAUUCCAUGUGUAGCGGUGAAAUGCGUAGAUAUAUGGAGGAACACCGGUGGCGAAAGCGGCUCUCUGGACUGUCACUGACACUGAGGCUCGAAAGCGUGGGUAGCAAACAGGAUUAGAAACCCCAGUAGUCC
rnacentral:rRNA from 1 species